GACGAACGCUGGCGGCGUGCUUAACACAUGCAAGUCGAACGUGAUUUUUGUGGAAAUUCUUUCGGGAAUGGAAGCGAAAUGAAAGUGGCGAACGGGUGAGUAACACGUGAGCAACCUACCUUACACAGGGGGAUAGCCGUUGGAAACGACGAUUAAUACCGCAUGAGACCACAGUACCGCAUGGUAUAGGGGUCAAAGAUUUAUCGGUGUAAGAUGGGCUCGCGUCUGAUUAGCUAGUUGGAAGGGUAAAGGCCUACCAAGGCGACGAUCAGUAGCCGGUCUGAGAGGAUGAACGGCCACAUUGGAACUGAGACACGGUCCAAACUCCUACGGGAGGCAGCAGUGGGGAAUAUUGCACAAUGGGGGGAACCCUGAUGCAGCGACGCCGCGUGAGCGAAGAAGGUUUUCGAAUCGUAAAGCUCUGUCCUA
rnacentral:rRNA from 1 species